AGGACGAACGCUGGCGGCGUGCUUAACACAUGCAAGUCGAACGGUGAACCACCUUCGGGUGGGGAUCAGUGGCGAACGGGUGAGUAACACGUGACCAACCUGCCCCUAACUCUGGGAUAACCCCGGGAAACCGGAGCUAAUACCGGAUACGAGACCGAGUGGCAUCACUUGGUCUGGAAAGUUUUUCGGUAGGGAUGGGGUCGCGGCCUAUCAGCUUGUUGGUGGGUAAUGGCCUACAAGGCGACGACGGGUAGCCGG
rnacentral:rRNA from 1 species